UACGAAGGGGGCUAGCGUUGUUCGGAUUUACUGGGCGUAAAGCGCGUGUAGGCGGGUCGUUAAGUUGGGGGUGAAAUCCCGAGGCUCAACCUCGGAACUGCCUUCAAAACUGGCGACCUGGACUCAAGCAGAGGCAAGUGGAAUUGCGAGUGUAGAGGUGAAAUUCGUAGAUAUUCGCAGGAACACCAGUGGCGAAGGCGACUUGCUGGGCUUGUAGUGACGCUGAGACGCGAAAGCGUGGGGAGCAAAC
rnacentral:rRNA from 1 species